rnacentral:rRNA from 1 species
UCGUGAGACAGUUCGGUCCCUAUCUGUCGCGGGCGUAGGAAGUUUGAGAGGAGCUGUCCUUAGUACGAGAGGACCGGGAUGGACGUACCGCUGGUGUACCAGUUGUUCCGCCAGGAGCACGGCUGGAUAGCUACGUACGGAAGGGAUAAGCGCUGAAAGCAUCUAAGCGUGAAGCCCCCCUCAAGAUGAGAUUUCCCAGUACGUAAGACCCCUUGAAGACGACGAGGUAGAUAGGUUCGGGGUGGAAGCGCGGCAACGUGUGGAGCUGACGAAUACUAAUCGGUCGAGGGCUUAACUAACUACCCAAG